rnacentral:lncRNA from 1 species
GGUCCCCGGGGAAGGCGGGGUCGCGCGCCCAGACUUCAAGCUCGGGGUGGAGGGGCGCGGGGGAGCUGAUGUCUGCGGUGGUGGCUCUCAAGGAAGACUCUGGAGGCACCCGCGCCGGGGCUGCUCGGGGGCCCGUCCCCACCUUAGCACUUGCCCUGCCGCAGCCAUCCGCGGCCUCCUGGGCGCCCCUGUCCCGUGCUCUCCCCUCCCGCAGGCCCGCCCCACCCGGGCAGGGGGCUGCUCCCUCGCUCCGGCCCCGAGCUCGCUCUGAUGCCCCGGGCCCCGCAGGAAGGCACAGGUUUCCAAGGCGGCCACCCCGCGUAAGGAGCCGAGGGGCCUGGGGGCGGCCCCGGCGGGGCCAGCUCGGUGGGCUCGGGGCGUCCGCAGUCCUAGGCGGCAGCCUCCCGGCCCAGACACCCAAUGGAAGCGCCGCAGGGCCAGCCGGUGGGCCGUGGGGCGCCCUCCGCCCCCUGAAAGGCGCCUUCCGACCCGGCGUCGCAAGCCUCGCGCGGCCCCGCCGGCCUCUCGGAGCGCGGCCUCCUCUCCCCGCGCGGACCGUUCCUCGCGGACCGCCCUCCGCGAGCCGCGCCCCGCGCCCGCCGUUGAUCCUCGCCCCGCCCGCCGUUGAUUCCCGCCAGCCGUUGAUCCCCGCCCGCCGUUGAUUCCCGCCAGCCGUUGAUCCCCGCCCGCCGUUGAUCCCCGCCCGGUGGCCGCACCUCUGCUCCGCCAUGUUCCCAGGCUGGCCCGCCGCGAGGGCGUGCUGCCACCCGCUCGGUGUUACAGCGCCGUCCCGCAGGCUCAGUGCCCGUCUGGGGGCUCCUUGUUGGCUCUGAAGAUGCUGGUGCUGGCUGCUCGAACCUCCAGGCUGUUCGUCAGUAAGGGUCGCCCAAGAACGAGGUUGACAAAGGCGGUGCUUGAUGAAGGCCAUCAGCUCAGUUCUCCACCUCACUGAUGUCCAGGAAGACAGAGGGAGAAAAGCUUUUAGACCUGUCAAGGAGGACUUCACCACCACAUCUGCCAGUUUUGGGCCCUCCCUGCAAAAGUCGCUGUGCCACUGCCACUGUCGUAGGGUGGAGCCUGAAUGAAGCUGAGAGGAUCCUGAGCCCCAGAUGAGUCCACAGCCCCAGCCAACACGGUGAUUUCAGCCUUCCAAGACCCUGAGCAGAGAGCUUAGCUCCGCUGCGCCUGGACUUCUGACCUGUGGAAUCUGUGAGACAAUAAAUAGAUGUUUUAAGCCACUAGGUUUGUGGUUGUCAUUUUUAUGUAGCAAUUGAAAACUAGUCUAUUCACAUAUCCAGUGCCUUUGGUAGACUCUGGAAAGGUUCCAGUUCAGCAAAUGUUACUAGAAAUAAGGCAGGAGGCUGGCAGAGAGGGCAGGGCUUGAACCAGACGCCUUGGAAACUGAACCACAGGGAGACUUGGAAGGAGUCCUUGGAGUGUCUGGAGGCAUGUUCCCUGGGGGGAGUCAAGAGGAGGGGUCUCUAUCCUCAGGUGUGAGCUGGGCCUGUGCGAGCCGGGCAUGAGACCUCAAGCUUUGGGUGUGACCAGAGUGUUUCUGCGUCGUUGGGUGAGAUGAAUUUUGCCUGAGAAAAGAGGCUGGUUCUCUCGCUGAUGAGUGAAGUUGUAUUAAUACUGUUUAGUGGGUGAUCCACACUUUCACCAUCGUGUGUACUUUUGCCGUGGCUUGGUUCCUGUGGGUCUUUACUCUGUGAAGGGCAUGGUGUGGAGCACAUACUGAGUUUGUUCACCUUGAAUCACAGACACUCGCACUUGGACACGUCCUUAGAUGGCGCCCAUCCUGACUCACAGCAUCUCUGGCAGGGGUCCUCCAGACUCUGCUCUCACCGGCCUGGUGAGGACAGCUGUGGCUUUGUGAGGCUGUCUCAUUCUUGGGCAUCUUGAGUGGUUUAGAACAGGGUUUCUAAAGCCAGGGUCCUUCAGAUAUGUGAACGUAAGUAUUAUCUCCUUCUAAUUAUUCCCCUUUUCUCCAUUUAAGCAUCUUUUCUUCCUUCAAUUAUUCUACAUCUGAAAAGAGUUGCAGAGCCCCUCCCCUCCCCUUGGACACCCUAUAAGAACUCUGCACAGCACAGUGGUGCUCUGGGCCCUGGAAACCACCAUUCUGCUCUCUGCUUCUAUGAAUUUGGUUCUCUUAGAUUCUACAUGUAAGUAACAUCACAGAGUAUUUGCCUUUCUGUGUCUGGAUUUCAUUUGGUACAAUGUUUUUCAGGUCCGUCCAUGUUGUUGCAAAUAGCAAGAUUUCUUUCUUUUUAAAGGCUGAGUAAUAUUCCACUAUACGUAUAUACCACAUUUUCUUCAUCCAUUCAUUUAACAUUUAGGUUAAAAGAUGGGCAAAGGACUUGCUAGACAUUUCUCCAAAGAAUGCGUACAGAUCGCUAACAGGUAUAUGAAAAUGUGAUCAACAUCACUAAUCAUCAGGGAAACAUAAAUCAAAACCAC